rnacentral:rRNA from 1 species
AGAGUUUGAUCCUGGCUCAGGACGAACGCUGGCGGCGUGCUUAACACAUGCAAGUCGAACGGGAUCUGCGUGGCCUUUGUGGUUGUGUGGUGAGAGUGGCGAACGGGUGAGUAACACGUGAGUAACCUGCCUUUUUCUUUGGGAUAACGCUCAGAAAUGGGUGCUAAUACUGGAUGUUCUGCGCUUUCCGCAUGGGGGGUGUGGGAAAGGGGCCUUUGUGGUUUCUGGAGGGAGAUGGGCUCGCGGCUUAUCAGCUUGUUGGUGGGGUGAUGGCUUACCAAGGCUUUGACGGGUAGCCGGCCUGAGAGGGUGGGCGGUCACAUUGGGACUGAGAUACGGCCCAGACUCCUACGGGAGGCAGCAGUGGGGAAUUUUGCACAAUGGGGGGAACCUUGAUGCAGCGACGCCGCGUGAGGGAUGGAGGCCUUCGGGUUGUGAACCUCUUUCGCUCGUGUGCAAGCCGCUAUUUGGGUAGUGGUGAGUGUAGCGGGUAAAGAAGCGCCGGCUAACUACGUGCCAGCAGCCGCGGUAAUACGUAGGGCGCGAGCGUUGUCCGGAUUUAUUGGGCGUAAAGGGCUUGUAGGCGGUUUGUCGCGCCUGUCGUGUAAUCCUCUGGCUUAACUGGGGGUGUGCGGUGGGUACGGGCAGGCUUGAGUGCGGUAGGGGAGAUUGGAAUUCCUGGUGUAGCGGUGGAAUGCGCAGAUAUCAGGAGGAACACCGGUGGCGAAGGCGGGUCUCUGGGCCGUUACUGACGCUGAGGAGCGAAAGCGUGGGGAGCGAACAGGAUUAGAUACCCUGGUAGUCCAUGCUGUAAACGUUGGGCACUAGGUGUGGGGGCCGCCCUUGGUUUCUGCGCCGUAGCUAACGCUUUAAGUGCCCCGCCUGGGGAGUACGGCCGCAAGGCUAAAACUCAAAGGAAUUGACGGGGGCCCGCACAAGCGGCGGAGCAUGCGGAUUAAUUCGAUGCAACGCGAAGAACCUUACCAAGGCUUGACAUGCGCCCUGAGCGCCUAGAGAUAGGUGUGCAUUUGGUUGGGGGUGUGCAGGUGGUGCAUGGUUGUCGUCAGCUCGUGUCGUGAGAUGUUGGGUUAA